rnacentral:lncRNA from 1 species
ACAUAAAUCCUCUCUACGGAAAAAAAUUGUAUUUCAAGACAAAUUUGAGGUUUUCUGAAACCAAAUUUUCCUUAAUCUCACAUGUAUCCUAACACAUAUAUAAGUUUCUAACCAAAGUAAAAGAGCACCUAAUGAACACAUGAUCUAACACUCCAACUGAAGUGUAACAAUAAUUACGCCUUAAUCCAACUAGUUGGUAUUGCUUAUAUAGAUCAGCCUUUGCUUCUGUUGUGCCCUGUCCUUAGCUUUUGAGGCAACUUCUCUCCAAGUGAUUUUCAUCAAUUGUCACACUAACAGAGCAGUGCACAUGAAAGGUCGAUGUACGACAGGACCAAACCAUCUCAGCUGAAUGAUGACCUUAUCUCACCUUAUCCUGGAGACGCACUAUUUGCACCCUAUAUAGGAUGUGAUCAUCUUUUUGUUUAAUCAUCCUUGAUCUUGUCAAAUUUUAUAUGCUUGUAGAUCCACCGUAACUUCCACACUUUGCAUGACAUUCAUCUUGUAGAUAUGUGCUGCGUUAGAGACCUAACAUUCACACCCAUAUAAUAUUACUUGUCUCACAAUUGUUCCAUAGGACUUGUUUUCACUUUGUUAAGUAUCUUCCUACCCUAUAACAGUAUUAUCAAAGGCGAAAUGUGCAAAAAAACUCUUAAGAUCUAUUGGGGUUUUAUGCCCAAAGCGGAAAUAAAGCGUGAGAUUUAAUAAAGAAAAGCGUAAAUGGAAAAAAACGACAAAUAUGUACGUGUAGUCCAAGACUAAUAUCUAUAAGCAUGAAUACCAAAUAUAUUGACAAAGAAACUGAAGAAAAUUUAUGAUAAAGUAAAAUAUCAAUUGUUUAGUAUCGCUUCUUCAGAUUACACUCAUUGGCAAGGAAAAGUAUGCCUUAGAGUCUUGAUGACAAUACCGAAGCGCCCGCUAAGCGAGCCUUGAUAACACUGCCCUACAACAUAUCAAUUGUUUAAUGUCGCUUCUUCAGGAUUACACUCAUUGGCAAGGAAAAGUAUGCCUUAGAGCCUUGAUGACAACAUUGAAGCGCCCGCUAAGCGAGCCUUGAUAACACUGCCUUAUAACAUGCUUUGAGCCUCGCUGCAAGGGCUUAAGUGCACCUUUGAUAACACUGCCCUAUAACACUCUCAUAGCACUUUAAAUCAACAUGUUACAUCACUGACAGAUUGAACCUAGAUUUUAAUUGUCUGCAUUUAGACACCACGAUCCCAUCUAAACUCACUUCACCUUUUCAAUAAAACAACUAAGCUUCCUGCACCUUCCUUUUCAGAGAAAAGAACAAUAUAAAAGAAGAAGAAAAAAGUUCCUCCACUCUGCCAGCUACAAAAACAAGCAUAAUCUUACCAAAAUUAGGUAACUACACUAUGUCUAAACAAGAUUAUUCAACUAAUCCUCAGAAGGAGCCCUUCUUCGCACAACAUAAGAACACAAGAUAAAGAGAACACAGUGGUGAAUCAGAUACAACCAACAGAAAACCUUGUAAAAAUCAAAAGAAACUGACUAACAAAAUUUAGCAAAGUGCAAGAUCGGCACAACAGAAGUUGUGAAAGCCAAAAAAUUUCUGGUAUAAACUUAAAACUGGAUCAAAUUCACAACUAUGCUAAUGCAAAACAAGCAACAUUAUCACACUUAUACUCCAACGUUCUUUGAACACUGUCUUUUAGAAAAGUUCUGACUCAUCUCACAUGUUCAAUUUGACAAAAAAUAUGUUAGAACAGCAAAACCUAUCAAAGUAGAAAGCCAAAAACAACAACUUGGCUUUACUUUCAGAGUUAAUAUACCUAAUUCAGCUUCCAAUACACAACCACAAGCAAUCUCCAUCUCCACAGCACGUACACGCAACAUAAAACCCAAGGAAUCAAAAGGUUACUCAUAAAACUUCAACAACAAAAAAUCAAGUUUGAUCCCAUAAAUGGGGUUUGGGGAAAGUAGUGUGUACGCAUACCUUACCCCUACCUCAUAG